rnacentral:lncRNA from 1 species
AGUAUAAAAAUAUUUUCUGUUUAUAGUGUGAUAAAUUUCCUACAACUUUUGUCUAAGGAAGAACUGCGUAUCUCGGCUCCUUAAUGCCAUUCAUGUACUUUGUCGCUUACUUGGGACACCUAUACCUGUACAACAAUUUAGCACUGAAUUACAAUUCAAACUAGAACCAACACUAGCAUUAGAACUAACACUAGACCUAGAACUAGAAACAUUGUGUUCGUUCCACAGGGUUCAAUACUUGCUUUAAGGGCUUUAAUACUUUUUAUUAAUGACCUACCCGGCUUUCUUGAAGAUACUCAUCUGGUUAUGUACGUUGAUGACACAUCUGUUACAAUUGCGGAUGCGGAUCCAGAUCGAUUGAAUAUGAAAAUCACGUCAACUAUUAAAAAGUUUUCUGUAUAGUGUGAGCGUAAUAGGAUUAUGUUAAAUGUUGACAAAACCGUUUGUAUCAGCUUUUUCCAAGCGUCGAACAUUGCCAACUAGUUUUGCGAAUAAAUUUUUAUUUGCACAACACACAGGGCCGGAUCACAACUUUUAUAAGCCCGAGGCGCUCUAUAUUUUUGGGCCCCAAAAAAAGUCUAAUAUUACCAUUUAAGUAUUAUGUAUAAUAAUAAUGUUUAUUGCCUCAAAAACAGUUAUUUACAUAAAUAUUUAUAUACAUUCAUAACAAAUAAUAGACAUCAAGGCAAACGGAUCAAUUUGUCGCAAUAAUCGAUAUCUUCCAAGAGACCAAACUGGCAACAGUGUACAUGUAAUUUUAAAUAAAUAAUUAUGGCUACCAAAAAAGUAAUACUAAAUGAUGUGCUAAUAGGAUUGAGCAAAUGAGCAUAUUUGAGUUAUGUAACGGAUCGACAGUCAGUUACUGCAAGGAAAUAGACACAAAAAAAUGCAGUAAAAGAUAGAUGAAAGGCAGACUAGAGAAGAAAACAAACACGUGUAGGUCAAGAAGAAGAUAGUUGAAGAGAUAGCAGAUGGCGCCUUAAGAUUUCAGUACUAUGGACUGGAAACAUGAGUGUAGAGUUCGACAUUGAUCGAGUGGGCAAAUCAUGUGAUGCUAAAAGGUGGACAAUUUAUGGACAAUUUUGUACAAAAUAGUAAGCAUACGAAAUGAUCUACGACUCUGGCAAGUCAUCAUCUGUAAGUUGUUACGAUAUGGAGUAAUGUGCUGAAACUUUCCUAAAUCAAAAAUGUACCGUAUACAAUUGUUCUGAAGUCUUCCUGAGUUCCCCAGCACACUGCCCUGGGGAACUCCACAUUUGAUGUCAACAGGAGAAGUGAGUACAGAUUCCACGCGGACACGUAAAGACCGAUAGGAAAGGUAGGACUAGAACCAAGAUACACAAGAAGAGGUAAAACCAAUAGCAGAAAGCCUAGUUAACAGGAGGGCAUGGUCCAUAGAAUCAAAGGCCUUACUAAAAUCAAGUAACACAACGGUUAUCACACGCAUAUCUAAUAUCAUCGGUGAUCUUAAUCAGUGCUGUAGUAGUACCAUGCCCUUCACGAAAACCAGACUGAAAUUUGUUAACCAGAUUAAACUCCUCAAGAUAUUUCUGAAUCUGCAAAUAAGCUAAAUGUUCAAUAGCUUUUAACAACGUAGAUUCAAUAAAAAUGGGUCGAAAGUCGCCAACAUGGGACGGAGAUUUAAUUUUUGGGAUAGGAAUAACAUAGGCGAUUCGCCAGAUUGACGGAAAUAAAGACUGUUUAAAAGAACAGUUGAAAAUAUGUGUUAGGGGAGUAAUAAUUAUAUCCAGAAUGGGCAAGAGGAAUCUGAGUUCAAUACCAUCUGCUCCGACACUAGUGGACUUGGAGUAAGUUAAACCAUCCCGCACCUCAGCAUUUGUAACCAAACUCAAUGAAAAGGAAAGCACGUUGUACUUUACCUAGUUAUGUUACUAACCACCACAGGAGGAUCCGCAAAUAUGUAUAUUAUAUGCCUAUGCAAUAUCAAAUCAGAACCGGGUUAACCCGGUUAAUAGAACCGCCCACUGGUUAAUCCAGCCCUGGCAACACACACGAUUUCUUGGUUUGGUGUUAGAUGGCAGGCUCUCUUUUGAAAGUCCCCUUUAUGACUUCUCAAGAAUUUAUAAUAGAUUACCUCGGUCGAUUAGAUCUCAGGAGUUUCCCAAACAAUUUAAACAAGUUGCAAAACGGUACUUCUUAGACUCUGUGUUCUAUUCAAGACAGGAAUUAUUAGAUAGGAAGUGAUUUUUGUUAGUUAUAACGUAUUAUAUAAUUUACUAUUGUAUUUUGUUUUAUUGUUCUUGUAUGUAUGCUGACUUGUCACAUUUACUUAUGAAGCCUACGUGAUUGAAUAAAUAUUCUACAUUCAG